CGUUAGUGGCGGACGGGUGAGUAACGCGUGGAUAACCUGCCGUAUACCGGGGGAUAACACUUAGAAAUAGGUGCUAAUACCGCAUAAGCGCACGGCUCCGCAUGGGGCAGUGUGAAAAACUCCGGUGGUAUACGAUGGAUCCGCGUCUGAUUAGCUAGUUGGCGGGGUAACGGCCCACCAAGGCAGCGAUCAGUAGCCGGCCUGAGAGGGUGGACGGCCACAUUGGGACUGAGACACGGCCCAAACUCCUACGGAAGGCAGCAG
rnacentral:rRNA from 1 species